AGCACCUUAGAGACCAACUAAGUUUGUUCUGGGUAUAAGCUUUCAUGUGCAUGCACAAACUUAGUUGGUCUCUAAGGUGCU